GGAGUGUUUUCUCGAAAGUGAGUAAAGGUUGGGCAUGUUUGCUAGUCUACCUUGCCACGAAGCACAGAGGUUGACACACAGGGACUUUCCAAUUAUCCAGCAGUGGUACUGUUCCUUUACCCUUGUGGGUAAUAAUAUGGUAGCUAGACCUUCAAAAUUUAUGUGUCUAAACUUUGUUAGUGCUGUUUCUUUGCUAUUCUUUUACCUUUCUUGGUCAGAGCGAUGUGUAGUGGGAGCUGCAAGCUUCACGUGCUCAACUUUGGCAGAGAACUUUGGCAAAGUUAUCUGUGGUACCCAUGAGCUAUUGUUGCGUGUGGGAAGUGGGUGAUUGAACAGUAAGAUUCAUGUGCUUUCUACUUCACCAGAAGUCUUCGACAGAAUGCCCAUAAUUUCUGCAAAGCUGAGUGUGCGUGUGACAGGUGCUGACAAGGCUAGAAAAGUAGGUGCCUCUUCGAUUUCUGAGAUCGGCCCUCGUGGUCUCUGAGCAGCCCAGCUUUUGAGAAAGCGAGCGCCUCUUCGAUUGAUUCGGAGAACGAUGCCUCAUCGAUUUUUGAGAAAGCAAUCAUGCUGGGGGUCUGGCUCUCGAGGAUUCGGGGAGCAGUGUCUCUUCGAUUUUUGAGAAAGUAAUCACGUUGGGAGUCUGGCUCUCGAGAUUCGGAGGGCGGUGCCUCUUCGAUUUUGGAGCAAGCAAUCUUGUUGGAAGUGUUUUCUUGAAUGUGAGUAAAGGUUGGGCAUGUUCGCUAGUCUACCUUGCCACGAAGCACAGAGGUUGACACACAGGGACUUUCCAAUUAUCCAGCAAUGGUACUGUUCCUUUACCCUCUCUUCGAUUUUUAAGAAAGUAGUCAUGUUGGGAGUCUGGCUCUCGAGAUUCGGAGGACGGUGCCUCUUCGAUUUUGGAGCAAGCAAUCUUAUUGGGAGUGUUUUCUCGAAUGUGAGUAAAGGUUGGGCAUGUUUGCUAGUCUACCUUGCCACGAAGCACAGAGGUUGACACACAGGGACUUUCCAAUUAUCCAGC
rnacentral:lncRNA from 1 species